rnacentral:rRNA from 1 species
CCUACGGGAGGCAGCAGUGAGGAAUAUUGGUCAAUGGACGAGAGUCUGAACCAGCCAAGUAGCGUGAAGGAUGACUGCCCUAUGGGUUGUAAACUUCUUUUAUAUGGGAAUAAAACGUUCCACGUGUGGGAUUUUGUAUGUACCAUAUGAAUAAGGAUCGGCUAACUCCGUUCCAGCAGCCGCGGUAAUACGGAGGAUCCGAGCGUUAUCCGGAGUUAUUGGGUUUAAAGGGAGCGUAGGUGGAUUGUUAAGUCAGUUGUGAAAGUUUGCGGCUCAACCGUAAAAUUGCAGUUGAAACUGGCAGUCUUGAGUACAGUAGAGGUGGGCGGAAGUCGUGGUGUAGCGGUGAAAUGCUUAGAUAUCACGAAGAACUCCGAUUGCGAAGGCAGUUCACUGGACUGCAACUGACACUGAGGCUCGAAAGUGUGGGUAUCAAACAGGAUUAGAUACCCUUGUAGUC